rnacentral:rRNA from 1 species
UACGGAGGGUGCAAGCGUUGUUCGGAAUCAUUGGGCGUAAAGGGCGCGUAGGCGGCCUGACAAGUGGAAGGUGAAAUCCCUCGGCUUAACCGAGGAACUGCCCUCCAAACUGUUUGGCUUGAGACCGGGAGAGGUGAGUGGAAUUCCCAGUGUAGCGGUGAAAUGCGUAGAUAUUGGGAGGAACACCAGUGGCGAAGGCGGCUCACUGGACCGGUACUGACGCUGAGGCGCGAAAGCGUGGGGAGCAAACGGGG